UACGAAGGGGGCUAGCGUUGCUCGGAAUCACUGGGCGUAAAGGGUGCGUAGGCGGGUCUUUAAGUCAGGGGUGAAAUCCUGGGGCUCAACUCCAGAACUGCCUUUGAUACUGAGGAUCUUGAGUUCGGGAGAGGUGAGUGGAACUGCGAGUGUAGAGGUGAAAUUCGUAGAUAUUCGCAAGAACACCAGUGGCGAAGGCGGCUCUCUGGGACGGUACUGACGCUGAGACGCGAAAGCGUGGGGAGCGAACAGG
rnacentral:rRNA from 1 species